rnacentral:ncRNA from 1 species
AAUGGAAGGGUUAGAAUUCUAAAUUUGUGUCGGACGGAGAGCUUUUAUAAGGUGUAAACUUUCUAAAAAAUAACAAAGAUAGGUAAAGAUUUCCUUGGAUUGGAUCGAGAUUAAUACUUAAGUGCAAAGGCAAAAAAGAGAUAAAACUCAUUUGUCAAAUAAGAAUGACAAUGAUCUUAGUGAUCCAAUAGUGUCAAGUGGAUGAAUCAUCGUUCAACAAAUAAAACUUACUUUAAGAAUAAUAAGUUUAUCUUCCCCAAUAACUUACCUCAAUAGUAAGUUUUGGUACCUUGAUAUCGACUCUCUACCAUUUGGGGUUACAAUAGUUUUUAAUGGGUUUGUUCACCCCUGAAAGUGGUAUGGGAACUAGGUUCAACACGUCAUAAAACAAUUU